rnacentral:rRNA from 1 species
UACAGAGGUGCCGAGCGUUAGGCGGAAUCACUGGGCUUAAAGCGUGUGUAGGCGGACGUCUAAGUACCUUGUGAAAUCCCACGGCUCAACCGUGGAACUGCUGGGUAUACUGGUUGUCUUGAGCCAGCUAGGGGCGAGCGGAACAGACGGUGGAGCGGUGAAAUGCGUAGAUAUCGUCUGGAACGCCGAAGGUGAAAACAGCUCGCUGGGGCUGCGCUGACGCUGAGACACGAAAGCCAGGGGAGCGAACGGG